AAGUGGGGGGGGGGGGCAGGAGAGGCUUUAGGACAUCCGAGGGCCCCGCGGAGCAGCUGUUUCUACACAUCCAGCCCUAAGGGCUUGGGUGGCUCCUUUAUUUGCUGAAGAGACCCCACUUUCUUUCUGCUCAGCUUCAGCCCUCCAUCCUGCCCUUGAGUUCCAGUAUUUUAUUCCAGUCCUUAAGUCAGGGACUCUAAGGACAGCCAACCCCUUCAAUCCGACCUAGUGACUGUCUCUCAUCGCUGCUGUGUUUCACUUUGCUGACUGGGGCUUCAGGAAACCUGACAGAUUUCAUCAAGAGUCUUGAUAUGGUGUCAUACUGCCUUUCCCACUACUACAAUCGAAUAACAUAUUUA